UGUCGGACGCUCGGCUUCGCAGUCGCCGACUUUAGUAUUCUUCGUUUAUUUUCUUUUCUAUUCGUUUAAUUUGUCGCUCGGACCCGUAACAUUAAAAGUGAGAAGUAACGACGCAACCUAGUGAGUUUUGAUGUUAUUUAGAUCGUGUUUGUUUUGACAGUGUCACGUGCGGAAUUGAAUUGUUACCGGUUCCGUAGUUUACAAGUGUUUAUAACGCAUACGGCCUUCAGUUGCCGCAGGUAGAGCCGGCGAGUCGUCAAAAAAGUGCGUCAAGUUUGUUGGGAUCCCAAAGUUACACUGGAAUUGUUGUGGGAACGAAACAUAUCGGUGCUUUCCAGGAGGUAAAGUGCCUUGCGCUGGAUAAAAGUUCACGCGGAUUGCCUCCAAUUGGAUUCUUCUCGGAAACUUUGGAAGUGCGUUGAGUGAAGUAAAGUCUGUGUCUAAAACUUACAACAUAACCUUAUUCGAAAAAGGCGCGUGUUUCGCGGGCAUGCGCAGUGGAACCCUUCGCAGUUAUUAACAAGUGGAUCGUAAUAUUAUAAACAAACGCGAAACGUGUUGUGUUGUGCCGGUUCCUAGUGCAUUCUGAAUAUCUUGUGCACGAGUUUAACCAGUGGAUUGUUAACUGCGACAUCCUUUAUCUUCACCUUUGGGAAUUCGAAUUUUGAAUUCUGAAAAGUUCAACUGUUGGAUCAAGCGAUCUUACCUGCGCGCGCAGUAAAUUUUCUUCUCAGGUUGGCGCAACUAUGAUGUCCUGUCCUCUACCCUUGCCGCUUCUGCCGGCCCUUCACCCUCAGCCUGCUCUGGCAUCUGACUUUCCUAUCCACAUCGGGAUUAAGGGCCCGCUAUUUUCCUGAACUACGCACGAGGAGAAUAAAAUAGACUUAAAGUUUAAAUAAGUGAAUUAAAUAUCGCUUGGCGUAAAGUGCCGGUUUGGCGUCGCACC